AGUUGCUUAAGUAUUCACGUUACAGUCAUACAAUCAAUUACCUCCUGAAUGUAUCAUCUUUAUUUCCAUUAUCUGAACACACAAAGAAACUAUAAUCUCAUCCUUUACCUUAUCGGUCUCUUCCUUACAACAAUUCAGUCAUACUAAUAACUGCUAUUUCCACCAAUAUAUUCACCCUCAUAAUCUCCAACUGUAAUACUACACCCUCAUAGCUUUUAGCACACAAUUACCCUCAUU
rnacentral:lncRNA from 1 species